AUUCCAGCUCCAAUAGCGUAUAUUUAAGUUGUUGCAGUUAAAAAGCUCGUAGUUGGAUUUUGGGUCGGGGGCACCGGUCCGCCGUUCCGGUGUGCACUGGUGGCCCCUUCCUUUCUGCCGGGGACGUGCGUCGCACUUAAUUGGGUGGCGUUCGGAGUCGGCGUUGUUACUUUGAAAAAAUUAGAGUGUUCAAAGCAAGCCAUCGCUCUGAAUACAUUAGCAUGGAAUAACAUGAUAGGACUCUGGUCUUAUUUUGUUGGUUUCCGAGACUGGAGUAAUGAUUAAGAGGGACAGUCGGGGGCAUCCGUAUUUCAUUGUCAGAGGUGAAAUUCUUGGAUUUAUGAAAGACGAACUUCUGCGAAAGCAUUUGCCAAGGAUGUUUUCAUCA
rnacentral:rRNA from 1 species